GAAAAGGUUCCCAUUUUUGUUCCUGAGGAAGAAGAAGAGGAAACUAUUCCAGAGGAAAUUAUACCAGCAAAAGUGCUGGAGAUUCCUAAGAAACCUGUCCCAAAAGAAAAAAUACCUGUACCCACUCCUGAGAAAAUGGAGCUUCCUCCAGCAAAAGGGCCAGCUGUUCCCAUAAGAACUGUCCCUGAAGGAAAGAAACCUACACAUACACCCGAAAUAGAAGUUCCACCAAUGAAAGGUAAAGGAACCUUUGAUAAGAGAUUUUAUGGAAAGGAAAUAUUUCUGUUUUUCCCAACUAACAUCUUUUAAAAUGAUCCUCAUGUU
rnacentral:lncRNA from 1 species